GUGCCAGCAGCCGCGGUAAGACAGAGGGUGCAAACGCUGUUCGGAAUUACUGGGCGUAAAGCGUGUGUAGGCGGCCAUGCAAGUCGGAUGUGAAAGCCCCGGGCUCAACUCGGGAAGUGCACCCGAAACUGCAUGGCUUGAGUAUCGGAGAGGUUGGUGGAAUUCUCGGUGUAGAGGUGAAAUUCGUAGAUAUCGAGAGGAACACCGGUGGCGAAGGCGGCCAACUGGACGAAUACUGACGCUGAGACACGAAAGCGUGGGGAGCAAACAGGAUUAGAAACCCUGGUAGUCC
rnacentral:rRNA from 1 species